CAGAGUACAAAUAGACAUUCCCAUAUCCAAAUAGAAUGACCAAAAUUACGCAAAACAUGAGGAACAAAUAUCAAGUUUUGUUAUUUCUUUUUCUGCAAACAAUUUUAAUCUUAAAUUGGAGUACCAAUACUUUGGGACAUCGUCACAAAAAUGGGAAUGGUCAUGGUCAUGGUGAUGGUGUGCAACCACUCUCCCAGAUUAAUAUUCUCAAGUACUAAUUUGCCAUUCACAACAAGGCUUCCGUUCGUGUUUCGACCAUUCUGCUGCCUACCGAGGAAAAUGAAGACUCUACUAUACUUGGUACAAGUAGGUCAAUGAUUCAAGACAUACAGGGAAAUGAGUCAAAUGACUAUGUCCGCCCGGUAACAGUUACUCUGAUGUCUGACAAUCCAUCGUCUGAUGAUUGGGUCGGAGUCUUCUCCCCUGCAA